GGAGCGGGCUAACUGCAGUCGAACGCGAAAGGGGCAACCCUCGGUAGCGUGGCAGACGGGUGAGUAACACGUGGGUAACCUACCCGGAGGUGGGGGAUAACCCUUCGAAAGGAGGGCUAAUACCGCAUGACAUCGCGAGGACCUCGGUCCUUGCAAUCAAAGCUGGCCUCUGUUUACAAGCUAGCGCCACCGGAUGGGCCCGCGCCCCAUUAGCUAGUUGGUGAGGUAACGGCUCACCAAGGCAACGAUGGGUAGCCGGCCUGAGAGGGCGACCGGCCACACUGGAACUGCGACACGGUCCAGACUCCUACGGGAGGCAGCAGUGAGGAAUCUUGCGCAAUGGGCGAAAGCCUGACGCAGCGACGCCGCGUGAAGGAUGAAGGUCUUCGGAUUGUAAACUUCUGUCGAGCGGGACGAAUGCCAUGAGGGUGAACAAUCCUCGUGGUUGACGGUACCGCUGGAGGAAGCCCCGGCUAACUCCGUGCCAGCAGCCGCGGUAAUACGUAGGGAGCAAGCGUUGUCCGGAAUCAUUGGGCGUAAAGCGCGCGUAGGCGGCCCUGUAAGUCCGUUGUGAAAGUCAAAGGCUCAACCUUUGAAAGCCGAUGGAUACUGCAGGGCUAGAGUCCGGAAGAGGCGAGUGGAAUUCCACGUGUAGCGGUGAAAUGCGUAGAGAUGUGGAGGAACACCAGUGGCGAAGGCGACUCUUUGGCCUGUAACUGACGCUGAGGCGCGAAAGCGUGGGGAGCAAACAGGAUCAGAUACCCUGGUAGUCCACGCCGUANACGAUGAGUGCUAAGUGUUAGAGGGUUUCCGCCCUUUAGUGCUGCAGUAAACGCAUUA
rnacentral:rRNA from 1 species